CUUCUGUCUCUAAUUGAAUACUUUGAACUUAAUAAGUGGGUGAAAAUGCCCACAAUUUAAAUAAUAGACGAGAAGACCCUAAGAAUUAUAAUAAUAUAUAAAUUUAUUUUGUUACUAUUUUUGUUGGGGCAACAGAGGUGCAAGUAUUAAGAACAAACCACCUUUUAAAUUAUUUUUACAAGCCGAAAAAUUUUAAGGUUGAUUUAAUUACCUUAGGGAUAACAGCAUAAUUAUAUAUUUUAGUUUGUGACCUCGAUGUUGGACUAG
rnacentral:rRNA from 1 species